GAAGAGAAAUACUGAAAACUUCUCUAAGCUUUCUUAGAUAGUAUGAAGUUCAUCUCCUUUUCUUUUAACCUUUCUAGAAGUUUCUGAUUCUGCAAACAAGAAGGAUACAGCUCCAAGAAACUUACCAAACAUUUAAAAACAAAGAGUCAGAGCCAUACAAUGGGGGAACUGAAUGAGAUGUUGGAGACCAUUCAGGUAUUUUUACUUUUCCAUUCACAGAUGGGGAAAUUUUGCCCCAAAUCACAUGACUGUUGAAUGCCUACACUGGAAGUAGAUCAAGGUCUUAGUAUUUUCUCUGAAUUUUCUACAUGGGAAGCUCAAAAAGAUGCCAUGCUACACUCUACAUUUUUUGGAAUAAAGCAGAGAAUGUGGGGAAGGAGGAGAGGGGGAAAGAAUCAAGGCAAGCCUGCUUAUUGUUGAAACUCUACCAAGUGCCCUCUUCUGGACCCCCCACUGGGAGAGGCUGUCUCAACAGGCCGGGGCGCUGCCGGACCACAGAAUCUUCCUUCUCAUACUGGAGAACUGGGCAUAGGACCCAGCAGCAAAAUGGACCCAAGAACCUUGCCCAUCCAGCAGCUAUGCCAGAAGCACCAGCUCAAUCUAAAAACCACAGAUUCAAUUAACUAAUCCCUCUCCUCGGAGUGCCAAGAAGAAAUAAUCUUGUCAACCACCCCCUUUGCCCUGAGCCCUGAUCCAAAGCUCAAUAUGCUUUUGAUUUUCCUAGAGUCUUCAAAAAAAAGAAAUGUUAUUUCAAGGCCACUCCCUGUUUUCCACAUUCUUGACAGAGUCACCCGAGAACCACAGCAGCGGCAAACAUAUUAAAUUCCAUCUUGUGAAAUAACACGAAAAAGUAUUUAGCAACAUUCCCCUCUCAACAGUGCUAAACAAGACUUGUGCUUUGUCACAGACUUUAUUCCCCAAUAUACGAGCAGGAUCGCAGCUCAGACAACACGUUCUCAAGCAGAUGGGCUCGACUGAGUGUUUUCCUGCCUUAUCAUUUUCACUUCCUCUGUUUUCUUUUCACUCUCCUGGCACAUAAAAAUUGGAUGGUCGGCUGAUUUAUCCCCGGGGCACACACCUUGUGUCUUCUCUAGGAUGGUUUAAUUUGAUUUUUCUCAACAACAGCCAAGGACAGAAGAAAGUUUCUCAUUAGGAAAUUGCCUUGGGAGUGAUACAGAGCUUUGUUGGUUAAAGAAAAUGUUAAGUGUGAAAACUACAGCCCAGGUUACCUCACGCGCGUAUUCUCUUCAGACAGUUUCUGAGUGUUAGUGAUGUUGCGCCAACAAAACAAAAUUGAGGAUUUAAUUCAGGGCUCUCUCUUCUUAGUGAAAAGGCUACUUAUUGGGAGAGUGGUUCUGACUGACUUUGAGGUUUAAUGUGAAGAGAAAGCCUGCAGGGACUGGGCGAAGCUGGCCCUGUGCCAUUCAGCUCAAGUGGGGAGCUGACCCACCGGCUUAUUGACCCCUGACCUCUGGACCGAGACUUCCAGAACGUCCUUCAAUGUGGCGGUCAUGGUGGCAGCUUUUGUUUACCUUCAAGGAGGAUGUUUUGAGACCCUAUUGAUAAGUAAUGCUGAUUUGUAUGGAAACUUUUCAAGUUGAAAUUCUCGGUGGGUUUUUGGCUGCUUCUGGAAAUCUGAGCUAAAAGCAAGGCCUCUGCCCCCUGCCGCUUGGGUUUAAUAACAAAACACAAAGCAACCAUAUAAACAGACCCUUUUAAUUGACUAUAGGCCCCAACUUCUCCCUUCUGGAAACAUGAGAACCGGGGCCUAGAACUUAUACCAUACGCAGAAACCAGAUACCCUUAGAAUCAGAAGUAUCUCCAACACUAAUUGGAUUAAAAAUCAUGAAGCGUACUCUCAGACUGGAGCAUUCAAAUCAAAUUAGACACCAUCUUAUUUUUUAAAAAUAAAGAAUUAGUGCCUUGUGUGUACAUUAUCAUCACAAGUUAAUGAGGGAGGGAGCAUGACUAGAGCCUCUCACGUUACCAGAACGGAACUCGGAUACCACAAAAUGCUCCCUUCAUUUUUUUUUUUUUUUUUUUUUCAGGCAAAACAGAGCUAGAAUCUUAAAGUGCUACCACUUAAUUCCCCACUGAGGUAGAAUGAUGGAAUUCUUCACUUUGCGAAUGAGAAAGGACCAAAGAGGCAAUGACAAGCCGGAGACCUGCCGGGGGUCUGGGAGCAGCACGUAUGGGUGUCCUCACUGCCCAGUGUUUCCUCUCAGCUGGGGGGACGUGUGUCGGUCACGCACUGGCCUGGCUCAACCAGAGCUCUGUGAUCACCCCGGUCUCGCCAGACCCUAUGUUCCUCCUUAGCGCCUCACAACCACCAGCUGAUAAAGGAGAAAAGAGAAGCGAAGCCACGAAGC